UGCCUUUAAGUGUUGCCCGUUCAUUGACUUCACCAUGAAUGGGGUGUCAACUAAGGCACACAGUGACUCUUGUGGUUGUCUCUGAAAGGAACCAUCAGUGAUUCCUUUCAACAAAAAUAACUGCAAGAACAUGU